rnacentral:rRNA from 1 species
UACGUAGGGGGCAAGCGUUGUCCGGAUUUAUUGGGCGUAACGAGCGUGUAGGCGGUCAGGUAGGUCCGUUGUGAAAACUCGAGGCUCAACCUCGAGACGCCGAUGGAAACCAUCUGACUAGAGUCCGGAAGAGGAGAGUGGAAUUCCUGGUGUAGCGGUGAAAUGCGUAGAUAUCAGGAGGAACACCGGUGGUGUAAACGGCUUUCUGGACCAUAACUGACACUGAGGCACGAAAGCGUGGGUAGCAAACAGG